rfam:Populus trichocarpa isolate Nisqually-1 chromosome 17, whole genome shotgun sequence.
UAAUCUUUCUAGAGCAAAUCCUCAUCUAGUUAUGGCAGAUCCACAUAUGACUGCUCAGAAUCACCCGUGAGAACAAUAACUUUUUAAGAUUUUAAUUGGAGU